rnacentral:misc_RNA from 1 species
UACGAACCGUCCAAACGUUAUUCGGAAUCACUGGGCUUAAAGGGUACGUAGGCGGCGCUGCAAGUCGGGUGUGAAAGCCCUCGGCUCAACCGAGGAAUUGCGCCCGAUACUGUUGUGCUCGAGGGAGACAGAGGUAAGCGGAACUGAUGGUGGAGCGGUGAAAUGCGUUGAUAUCAUCAGGAACACCGGUGGCGAAAGCGGCUUACUGGGUCUCUUCUGACGCUGAGGUACGAAAGCUAGGGUAGCGAAGGGG